rnacentral:tRNA from 1 species
GUGGCUGUAGCUCAGUUGGUUAGAGCGUCCGGUUGUGGUCCGGAAGGUCGCGGGUUCAAACCCCGUCAGCCACC